UACAUCUACCAGCCAUAAACCACAAAACCAGUUCUACUCAACACACACAAGCACGCACACACACACCCAGACACCUCCACAACCGACCACCCCUAAUGCAGAACAACAAAGAGAUAGAGGAGAUGUCAAAAGAUACACGAGGCUUGACAGAAAAAAUGAUAGAAGAGCAAUGCUCAAUUCUUCAUUACCAUAAAAUUAUAAUUCUAAUCAUCUUCCUUUAACAUAUCAAACUCCCUCCCUAAUAGUGUACCAAAACAUCUUCAUCAAUGCAGAUACAACUCCCUAAGCCACCAAAGCAUAUUAAAUGACAAUUGUUCCACCUAGCAACUUAAUUUAAAAUGCAACUUACAAUGCAUCAAAAUUGCCACAAAUAUUAAAUCACAGCCUAAAAUACAUGAAUCUCAAAUUAAUAAUUAAUGGAAUGACCAAACACCAAAAUACCAAAAGCCCUGUUGAAUAAAGUCCUUAUGCUCUGCAUCAACCCCACCUCCAUUUCAGCUCAGCUCAGAUUCUGGCCGUCCAAAUCAACCAGUUUUCCGACCCUUGAAUGUCUUCAGUUCUUGGUGUAAGGAGUUAUAGCUCCAUUGAAGAAGUGAGAGGCAUACGACAAUAUUUCUUCAUUCUAGAAUUCAGACAGGCAGGAUGUGGAUACUUCUGACUUUAUCAAGGAAUUCAGUAGUCCCCAUCAUCAUCAGUUUGUCUGCUAUUGCAGUUAGAGAACCAUUCCACAGGAGAAGGUGGGGUUACACCUUCAGUUUAUUCGUGCGAAGAACCAGUAUGUCCAAAAAUAUAUGUUACUCGAUUCUUAAAAACUGUAUGGCAUGGCAAAAUAAAUUUACAAAUUGCUAAUUUUUCUGUUUUGUAUAAUAUCUUUGUUCACUCUACUUGAACAGGUACACAUGUUAAGUUUUCUUUCAUCUUAUCUUUGGCACAGAAAGCACCAUCAAAAUUUAAACAUUUUUUUUAUUUUUUUCAUUCGGCUGUUGAGGGAGGGAUUGUUGUUGGCGGAUGAACCCUUUAGGUAAUUAUCUGUUGCUUAUUGAACUCCCCCAAUCAUGAGUUUUGACUCAGAAGAAGAUUUUGAUGAUGACAGAUACUAAAUUGAAUUUUGGCUCAAAUUGUAUUAAAAAUUUCAAUUCGGAGCAAUUUUUAUGACGAAGAAGGAUGAAUCCUAAACAUAUAUAUGAAUAUAGUCAAUUUCCACAUGCUCCAUUCAAUAGAUGAAUUGUAAACAUAUGAAUUACAAGCACCUGAAUUGAAUAGAUGCUUUUAAUUCUUCUCUCAUCUAAACCGUAGAUUUUUCUGCAAUUUUAUUUCUAUGUUGCUUAUAUCAUUGUUGUUUGAAUAUAUGGUUUAACUUAUUUCAUUAAUCAGAAAAUAUAUUACCGAUAGUUUGAUUGGUUAAGCUAAGAUGUUUUUCAUAGUAUCGCAUGAAGCUCGAUAGGAAAGUAGUUCCAUUGUCUGGUUGCUGCUGUUUUCUCAUUGUGCAGGAAGCUUUAUGGCGUUCAACGUGCCAAAUCAUUGUGCUGGCACUAUUCUGUUUCAGUAUUUGUUGGAUUAGAAUGUACUCAUUGUUUUAAGUGAGUAUUAAUUUCGACUCUUGAUAAAUAUUUUGAAUGAUAAAUCAAAGGGCAGGGAGCGAGAGUCGGAGAAGCUCUUAGUUUGGGUGUUUUAACAUGUUGAUGUUGUGUGUUUUACUGUUUUAUUAGAUAUGUGCUUCAUAUGCAGAUAAUGUAUUUCUGAUUUGAAAUUUUCAUCAUUAUUCCAUUGAUUUAGUAAUUAAAUUUAUGCCUUGAUUUAGCUUUUUUAUCAUGAUGAGUAUUAGGAACAGAGUAGGAGAGGUUGGUGAUUUUACAGAGCACAAUCAUUAGGCUGCUUCGAUGCUCUGUGUUUAUUGAUUAAGAUUGUUCUCCAGCAGUGGAAUCUGAGGAAGAUUUCAAAAACUGGGAAAUUAUUUUGUUCUCCACUUGGUAAUUGGUGGAGAUGUCAAGUUAUGUGGGUGUUCACAUUACGGAUCAAUCGCUUCAAAGCCAGUUCACGCAGGUUUAGCUGUGCAGUCUAGAAUAUAAAACUCAGAAUGGGAAAGUUAUGGCUGGAGAUUUGCCACCUUUAAUGGUGAACUUAAAGGCAUUUAGAGAAACGUAUUCUGAGGACAUCAGAGAUGUCUUAAGUGGCUUGGAUUCUGACUUCAGGGAUGAGAUUCAUUCUUCCUUAAGAACAAGUCCGAUAACAUGGCCUUGAAGAUUAUCAAUCAAGAUGUCUACAAACUAGACAAAUUUGAUGGAUCAAACUUCACCUGAUGGAAGGACAAAAUGCGUUUCAUGCUUACUGUUCUAAAUGUCAUUUAUGUGUUGGACUCGAAAUUAGAGCCUAUUGGUGAACCAAGUGACAAAGAUAUGGACAAAAUAGUUGCCGAUAGAAAGAAACGUGAAGAAGAUGAAUUGGUAUGUAGAGGACACAUCUUGGACACAUUAUCUGAUUGCUCAUAUGACCUGUACGCACACAUUCAAUCUCUGAAGGAAAUUUGGGAAGCACUUGAACACAAGUACACAACAGAGAAAAGAUGUACUGAUAAAAUUUUUAAUGUUCAAAUAUUAUGAGUUCACUAUGUUUGAUAACAAACCGAUUCUAGACCAAGUUCAUGAAUUAUUGGUCUUGGUCUCAAAGCUUCAUGAACUUAAAAUAGUUAUUUUGGAUCCUAUGAUAGUUGGGGCUAUUAUGGCAAAAUUACCCCAAACAUGGAAUAAUUAUAGAAAGAAACUUCUACACAUGGUGAAAGAUAUUAGUUUGGAGGAUUUGCAAAAGAGUAUUCAAAUUGAAGAAGAAACUCGAAAUCGUGAUAAGAAUUUUGCAAAUCAAGAUUUGUCCAAAGUUCACAUUGUUGAAUGAAAUAAAUACAAAAAGAACUUCAAAGUCAAAGUUGAUAAAGGGAAGUUUAAGAAGACCAAUUCCAACAACAAUCAAAAGAAUGCAAAUGGUGUCUACUACCAUUGUGGAAAGAAAUGCCAUUACAUUCGUGAUUGUAGACACAUAAAAGCAAGUGAGGAAUAUGCUAAUAAGACCAAUAAUGCAAAUAUGGUGGAAAACUCUGGAGUUGAUAACAUUGUUGCAAUGGUAUCAAUGAUGCAUAUCGACAUGGUUACCGAACUAAAUAUGGCAGCGGCAAUAAAAUCCUCUGAUUAAUGGCUCGACUCAGGAGCUACUAUACAUGUGUGUAAUGACAAGGCACCAUUCAUGACAUAUGAAGCAUUAAUGAACAAUCAAGAGGUUUUAAUGGGGAAUUAUAAUUCCGCCAAAGUUAUAGGAAAAUGAACCAUUGAACUUCAAUUUAUUUCUGGGAAGUAAUUGAUGUUGCUUAAUGUAUUGCAUGUUCCAGAAAUUAGAAAGAAUCUUGUGUCUACAAAUUUAUUAUGUAAGAACGGUAUAAAGACUGUUCUAGAGUCCGACAAGUUAAUAAUGUCGAAAAAUGGAAUGUUUGUUGGGAAUGGGUACUCUUGUGAUGGGAUGUUCAAACUAAGUAUUAAUAAUAAAGUGAAUUCUUCUGCUUAUAUUAUUGAAUCUUCCUCUCAUUUAUGGCAUUUACGUUUAACACAUAAAUUUUAGAUCUUUAAAAUACAUGCG